rnacentral:rRNA from 1 species
GUGCAGCAAUCCAUGAGUAAAGUGGCGCACGGGUGAGUAACACGUGACUAACCUACCCUUGAGUGGGGAAUAACCUCGGGAAACCGGGGCUAAUACCGCAUAAUACCUUCGGGUCAAAGGAGCAAUUCGCUUAAGGAGGGGGUCGCGGCUGAUUAGCUAGUUGGUGGGGUAAUGGCCUACCAAGGCAAUGAUCAGUAUCCGGCCUGAGAGGGCGCACGGACACACUGGAACUGAAACACGGUCCAGACUCCUACGGGAGGCAGCAGUGGGGAAUUUUGCACAAUGGGGGAAACCCUGAUGCAGCAACGCCGCGUGGAGGAUGAAGUCCCUUGGGAUGUAAACUCCUUUCGACCGGGACGAUAAUGACGGUACCGGUAGAAGAAGCCCCGGCUAACUCUGUGCCAGCAGCCGCGGUAAUACAGAGGGGGCAAGCGUUGUUCGGAAUUAUUGGGCGUAAAGGGUGCGUAGGCGGUGCGGUAAGUCUUCUGUGAAAUCUCCGGGCUCAACUCGGAGCCUGCAGGAGAAACUGCCGUGCUUGAGUAUGGGAGAGGUGAGUGGAAUUCCUGGUGUAGCGGUGAAAUGCGUAGAUAUCAGGAGGAACACCUGUGGCGAAAGCGGCUCACUGGACCAUAACUGACGCUGAGGCACGAAAGCUAGGGGAGCAAACAGGAUUAGAUACCCUGGUAGUCCUAGCCCUAAACGAUGAUUGCUUGGUGUAGCAGGUACCCAAUCCUGCUGUGCCGCAGCUAACGCGUUAAGCAAUCCGCCUGGGGANUACGGUCGCAAGGCUG